rnacentral:rRNA from 1 species
UACAGAGGUCCCAAGCGUUGUUCGGAUUCACUGGGCGUAAAGGGUGCGUAGGUGGCCAGGUAAGUUUGAUGUGAAAGCUCGGAGCUUAACUCCGAAAUGGCAUUGAAUACUAUCUGGCUUGAGGGUCGGAGGGGAGACUGGAAUUCUCGGUGUAGCAGUGAAAUGCGUAGAUAUCGAGAGGAACACCAGUGGCGAAGGCGACACCCUGGACCAGCACUGACACUGAGGCACGAAAGCGUGGGGAGCAAACAGG